UUAAAAUCUGACUAACGUCUAGCUAGCCGAUGAACUUCGCACCCGAUGUGAAAUCGUUACUCAUUAAUCACCGACAUCUGCCUUUAGCAGGUUGGAAUCUCGUCAAAUUUACUGUCAGGUCAGCCGCUUCCAAAAUCUAAGCGAGCGUCUUAAAGUGGUACUUUACGCAGGCUUGAUCGAGUAUAAUUGGAUAUGCAUUUUACGUGGAUUAUAGGCAAUUCAACAUACAACCAAACGAAAUAAAUGUAUUUAAAGUGAAGGGGAACUAAAAGUGAGCGCCAUCGUCCAACGGGCUUCUGAAGUAGCGCAAUUUUAUCGAAAUAGUAAUCUGUAUGGAUAUAUAAUACACGUUUCUCUGGUUGCCUUACAAAUUUUUCCGUUCGAACCUUUUUUUUUAUAUUGCAGGCGUUAAGUUCGCUUGUCAUUGAAAUUUUACUCGUGGUUGAUAAAGGCAAAGUUUAAACGUGAAGACGUUUUCGAGUUAGGAGGUUGGAGUUGCAAGGUUCCAAGACUUAAAUAUGAGAAUUCGCCAAGAGGUAGAAAGAGAAUGCAACAGCUGCGGGUCGAAAAGUGUUGGGAAAAUUGAAACGAUAUAUUCAGCCAAAGAUGAUCCUUAGUAUCAAGUUAUAGGAAUAUGGUAUACCAUUUGUUGAGGAUUUUAAUGGUUUUGCAGAGUAUUUAAUAAAAUAUAGGUUGUUGUUUUUGUUUAAAUUAAAUUUUAAUUAUAUUUGUUCCCACCGGCAUAAUCACAUAUUUUGAACGCGCAUUACAAAGUGGACUUGUCUUCAUAAAACAAUUUCAUAAAUAAAUAAAAUAGUGUAUUAUGAAACACGUUCAUAAAAAUCUUCAUACCCUCGCUCCACUGUUG